GUCUACAGCCAUACCAUCCUUAAAGCGCAUGAUCCCGUCAGACCUCGAAUGCAAUCAAGGGUAGGGCUUGUUCAGUACCAGUGUGGGUGACUGACUGGGAAUAGCAAGUGCUGUAGUCC
rnacentral:rRNA from 1 species